CUGUUACAAUAUGGGCAUCUUCGUAAUAGUUCUUUAAAUCUUUCCCACACCUCAUACAAGGAUUCAUCAUCCGUCUGUUGGAAGGAAAUGAUCUCGUUCCUCAAUUU
rfam:Gossypium hirsutum cultivar TM-1 unplaced genomic scaffold scaffold828.1, whole genome shotgun sequence